rnacentral:snoRNA from 1 species
AGAACUUGUAUGUGUUCAGUUGGUGGACAAAGGCAGGUUAUACAGGUGCAAAAACAAAUCCUCUUGCAACCCAGAACUUAUUGUUCAGAAUGAAUUUUGAUACACACAAGAAGGAAUAUA